rnacentral:piRNA from 1 species
UGAGUGUCUACGGGGAACAUGAACUUGA